ACGAACGCUGGCGGCGUGCUUAACCCAUGCCAGUCGAACGGAAAGGCCCUGCUUUUGUGGGGUGCUCGAGUGGCGAACGGGUGAGUAACACGUGAGUAACCUGCCCUUGACUUUGGGAUAACUUCAGGAAACUGGGGCUAAUACCGGAUAGGAGCUCCUGCUGCAUGGUGGGGGUUGGAAAGUUUCGGCGGUUGGGGUUGGACUCGCGGCUUAUCAGCUUGUUGGUGGGGUAGUGGCUUACCAAGGCUUUGACGGGUAGCCGGCCUGAGAGGGUGACCGGCCACAUUGGGACUGGGAUACGGCCCAGACUCCUACGGGGGGCAGCAGUGGGGAAUAUUGCACAAUGGGCGGAGGCCUGAUGCAGCAACGCCGCGUGCGGGAUGACGGCCUUCGGGUUGUAAACCGCUUUCGCCUGUGACGAAGCGUGAGUGACGGUAAUGGGUAAAGAAGCACCGGCUAACUACGU
rnacentral:rRNA from 1 species